CACGUAGGCACCAAGCGUUGUCCGGAUUUAUUGGGCGUAAAGAGCUCGUAGGCGGUUCAGUAAGUCGGGUGUGAAAACUUUGGGCUUAACCCAAAGCGUGCAUCCGAUACUGCUGUGGCUUGAGUUCGGUAGGGGAGUGGGGAAUUCCUAGUGUAGCGGUGAAAUGCGCAGAUAUUAGGAGGAACACCAAUGGCGAAGGCAGCUCGCUGGGACGUGACUGACGCUGAGACGCGAAAGCGUGGGGAGCAAACAGG
rnacentral:rRNA from 1 species